UGCUUAGCCAGGUGACACUUUUCAGACA
rnacentral:piRNA from 2 species